AAACUGCGAAAUCAAAUUGCGAAAAUGAAGAGGAACUCUCGCUGCUGCCGGAAUUCGAGAUUUCGUCGUUCGGAUGGAAUUGAUUCAAAGCAUGGGCAUUAAACAAAACAUUUGGAUCGGCUUGGAUGACAUAAUAGAAGAGAAGAGUUUUAUUUGGGCGGAUGGUGGAUGUUAUGUUGAGUCAGAUACUAACUGGAGUUAUAAACAACCGGACGACCACAAUCAUAAUGAGGAUUGUGUUCAAUUGUAUCAUACCAAUGGGAAAUUGAAUGAUAACAACUGUGUUAUCCUAUUAUCAUA